rnacentral:pre_miRNA from 1 species
AUUAUAGUAUAAGUAUGUCCCAUUUAAUAUGUGGGACAUACUUACACUAAAA